CCUUAGGGCCACAUUGCCCUGAAUGCGUUUGAUCUCAUCCCCUCUUGGAAGCUAAGCAGGGUCAGGCCUGGUGACUACCUAGAUGGGAGGAGAAAAGGAGGAGUUGCCUCACGGA
rnacentral:rRNA from 1 species